ACGGAGGGUGCAAGCGUUAUUCGGAAUUACUGGGCGUAAAGCGCGUGUAGGCGGUCCUGCAAGUCUGAUGUGAAAGCCUCGGGCUUAACCCGGGAAGUGCAUUGGAAACUGCAGGACUUGAGGACUGGAGAGGAUAGGGGAAUUCCCGGUGUAGGGGUGAAAUUCUGAGAUAUCUGGAGGAAGACCAGUGGCGAAGGCGCCCAUCUGGACGGGAACUGACGCUGAGACGCGAAAGCGUGGGGAGCAAACAG
rnacentral:rRNA from 1 species